rnacentral:rRNA from 1 species
CCUACGGGUGGCAGCAGUGAGGAAUAUUGGUCAAUGGACGAGAGUCUGAACCAGCCAAGUAGCGUGAAGGAUGACUGCCCUAUGGGUUGUAAACUUCUUUUAUAAAGGAAUAAAACGAGGCACGUGUGCCUUUUUGCAUGUACUUUAUGAAUAAGGAUAGGCUAACUCCGUGCCAGCAGCCGCGGUAAUACGGAGGAUCCGAGCGUUAUCCGGAUUUAUUGGGUUUAAAGGGAGAGUAGAUGGGUUGGUAAGUCAGUUGUGAAAGUUUGCGGCUCAACCGUAAAAUUGCAAUUGAUACUGGCAGGCUUGAGUACAGUUGAGGUAGGCGGAAUUCGAGGUGUAGCGGUGAAAUGCAUAGAGAUGACGCAGAACCCCGAUUGCGAAGGCAGCCUUCCGGCGCCCUACUGACGCUGAGGCACGAAAGUGUGGGGAUCGAACAGGAUUAGAUACCCGAGUAGUC